GCCCAGUCGCGCCUUUCCCUCAUCCACACCAACCGGUCGCCCGAAUCUCGAGCGCCACCCAUGGCCUCCUCCGCCUUGUCCGGCACCCACCAUCGCCUCCUUCUCCCCUGUUUCCUGCGCCGCCUCCCCCGACCCCGCUCGCGCUCGUGCUCCCGCCUCCGCCUCGCCGCCUGCCACGCCGACACCCUCCUUUCCUCCUCCGGGGCCCAGGGGCCGCCCGCCCCCGCCGCGUGCUCGUCGGCAUCCUCCGCUGGCGGGUUCUCUGACUGGCUACUCACGAAUGGGCUGCCGCCGGGCAAGGUGGCCAUCCUGGAGCGCCCCGUCCCGUGCUCUCGCGGGGGCAAAGACCGGCCAUUACACUUCGUCUCUGCUGGGCAGGACCUCGAGGCGGGGGAUGUGGCGUUCGAGGUGCCCAUGUCGCUCGUUGUCACACUGGAGCGGGUUCUCGGCGACGAGUCGGUCGCUGAAUUGUUAACAACAAACAAAUUGUCUGAGCUGGCAUGCUUGGCAUUGUAUCUGAUGUAUGAGAAGAAGCAAGGAAGAGAUUCACUUUGGUACCCGUAUAUUAAAGAACUUGAUCGUCAGCGAGGCAGGGGGCAACUAGCUGUUGAAUCACCUCUUUUAUGGAUUGAAAGUGAACUGGAUUACCUGAAUGGCAGCCCCAUGAGGGAUGAAGUUGUUGUUAGAGAUGAGGGAAUAAGAAGAGAGUAUAAUGAGCUUGACACAUUGUGGUUCAUGGCAGGUUCAUUGUUUAAGCAAUACCCUUUUGAUGUACCUACUGAGGCGUUUCCGUUUGAGAUCUUCAAGCAGGCAUUUGUUGCAGUACAGUCUUGUGUGGUUCAUUUGCAGAAGGUUAGUUUAGCUCGAAGAUUUGCACUAGUUCCCUUGGGCCCACCACUGUUGACGUACAAGAGCAACUGCAAAGCAAUGCUGACUGCUGUUGAUGGUUCUGUUCGAUUGCUGGUCGAUCGGCCGUACAAAGCAGGAGAACCAAUAAUUGUUUGGUGUGGGCCUCAACCAAACUCCAGGUUGCUUCUCAAUUAUGGUUUUGUUGAUGAAGACAAUCCAUAUGAUCGCAUAGCAAUCGAGGCAUCCCUAAACACUGAAGAUCCUCAAUACCAAGAGAAGAGAAUGGUCGCUCAAAGAAAUGGAAAGCUUGCUAUCCAAAAAUUCCAAGUCUGUGUAGGCAAAGAGAAGGAAACUAUUUCUGAAAUGCUGCCAUACUUGAGACUAGGAUACAUUUCAGAUCCAGAUGAAAUGCAAUGUAUACUUUCGUCAGAAGGUGAUACAUGUCCAGUUAGUCCAUGCUCAGAGCGAGCUGUACUUGACCAACUUGUUGUCUACCUGAAAUCAAGAUUGGCUGGUUAUCCGACUACUUUGGACGAGGAUGAAGCAAUGUUGGCCGAGGGCAGUUUGGAGCCAAAGAAAGAAGUUGCCACUAGACUUGUAAGGUUAGAGAAGAAAAUGCUGCAUGGCUGUCUUCAGGCUGCUAACGAGUUCAUAAGUGGCUUGCCUGAUCAUACCGUAUCACCUUGCCCUGCUCUAUAUGCUCCUGAAUUGAAAUAAGCUGUUCUGAUAGGCUACUGCCAAUAAAUUCAAUGUUCCACAGAGAAGCAAGUGUGCAGUGAGAUUCAAUUAUUGCUAGAUGGACAUAUCACUUCAGGACACGUUCUCUGUUAAGUGCAUCAUUAGAAGGAAACCUGUUCGAGUGUAACAAGGAUAUUGUCGAUCUCCACUAGAUCUGCAAACAGUUUUAUUGCACACAAAUGUGCAUUGAUUUGCUUUUCCAGCCGUGUAGAUUCGUUCUGUGUGUUCAUUUUCAUGAUUGAGAGUUAGCAAUGGUAUCUUGGACAUGCUCACUUUCCAUUUUGUGCAUAGAAGAACAUGCACGAAAAUUGGCUUGGCUCAGCUAUUCUAUUGUAACGGCUGGUUUAGAAUUACCGAAUCUGUCGAUCCAGAGCUGGUAAUUGCAUGACAGUAGUUAUGCUCUGAUGCUGCAUACCGCUAUUUGUAGUUUGAUUAUCUUCUCGAUGCUUUGCCAAAAAUUCGUUUCUUUGCCCAA